AACGUAGGAGACAAACGUUAUCCGGAGUUACUGGGCGUAAAGGGCGUGUAGGCGGUUUGUUAAGUCUGGCGUGAAAGCUCUCGGCUAAACCGGGAGAGGUCGUUGGAUACUGGCGAACUAGAGGAUGGUAGAGGCGUGUGGAAUUCCGGGUGUAGUGGUGAAAUGCGUAGAUAUCGGAAGGAACACCGGUGGCGAAGGCGACCACCUGGACUGAUACUGACACUGAGGUGCGAAAGCGUGGGGAGCAAACAGG
rnacentral:rRNA from 1 species